GACGAACGCUGGCGGCGUGCUUAACACAUGCAAGUCGAACGCUGAAGACCUGGCUUUUGUUGGGUUGGAUGAGUGGCGAACGGGUGAGUAACACGUGAGUAACCUGCCCCCUUCUUUGGGAUAACGCCCGGAAACGGGUGCUAAUACUGGAUAUUCACUGGCCUUCGCAUGGGGGUUGGUGGAAAGGUUUGUUCUGGUGGGGGAUGGGCUCGCGGCCUAUCAGCUUGUUGGUGGGGUGAUGGCCUACCAAGGCUUUGACGGGUAGCCGGCCUGAGAGGGUGACCGGUCACAUUGGGACUGAGAUACGGCCCAGACUCCUACGGGAGGCAGCAGUGGGGAAUAUUGCACAAUGGGCGAAAGCCUGAUGCAGCGACGCCGCGUGAGGGAUGGAGGCCUUCGGGUUGUAAACCUCUUUCGCUCAUGGUCAAGCCGCAACUGUGGGUUGUGGUGAGGGUAGUGGGUAAAGAAGCGCCGGCUAACUACGUGCCAGCAGCCGCGGUAAUACGUAGGGCGCGAGCGUUGUCCGGAAUUAUUGGGCGUAAAGGGCUUGUAGGCGGUUGGUCGCGUCUGCCGUGAAAUCCUCUGGCUUAACUGGGGGCGUGCGGUGGGUACGGGCUGACUUGAGUGCGGUAGGGGAGACUGGAACUCCUGGUGUAGCGGGUGGAAUGCGCAGAUAUCAGGAAGAACACCGGUGGCGAAGGCGGGUCUCUGGGCCGUUACUGACGCUGAGGAGCGAAAGCGUGGGGAGCGAACAGG
rnacentral:rRNA from 1 species